CCCUUAGAUGUUCUGGGCCGCACGCGUGCUACACUGAACGGUUCAAUGGGUAAGGUAGUGCGAAAGCAUGACCUAAUCUCGAAAUCCGUUCGUGCUGGGGAUAGAAGCUUGCAAUUAUCCUUCUUGAACGAGGAAUACCUUGUAAGCGUGAGUCAUCAUCUCACGCUGAAUACGUCUCUGCCCUUUGUACACACCGCCCGUCGCUCCUACCGAUUGAGUGUUCCGGUGAGGCUUUGGGAGAAUGGCCUCAACAUGAGUUUAUCGUGUUUUGCCGUUUGAACUUAGUCAAACCUUAUCACUUAGAGGAAGGAGAAGUCGUAACA
rnacentral:rRNA from 1 species